UACGAAGGGGGCUAGCGUUGCUCGGAAUUACUGGGCGUAAAGCGCACGUAGGCGGCUCUUUAAGUCGGAGGUGAAAUCCUGGAGCUCAACUCCAGAACUGCCUCGAUACUGAAGAUCUCGAGUCCGGGAGAGGUGAGUGGAACUGCGAGUGUAGAGGUGAAAUUCGUAGAUAUUCGCAAGAACACCAGUGGCGAAGGCGGCUCACUGGCCCGGUACUGACGCUGAGGUGCGAAAGCGUGGGGAGCAAACAGGGAUUAAGAAACCCUGGUAACGUC
rnacentral:rRNA from 1 species